rnacentral:rRNA from 1 species
CCUACGGGAGGCAGCAGUAGGGAAUCUUUCACAAUGGGCGAAAGCCUGAUGGAGCAACGCCGCGUGCAGGAUGAAGGCCUUCGGGUUGUAAACUGCUUUUAUAAGCGAGAAAUAUGAUGGUCACUUAUGAAUAAGGAUCUGCCAACUACGUGCCAGCCGCCGCGGUCAUACGUAGGAUCCGAGCAUUAUCCGGAGUGACUGGGUGUAAAGAGUUGCGUAGGUGGUAUAAUAAGUAGCUAGUGAAAUCUGGUGGCUCAACCAUUCAGACUAUUAGCUAAACUGUUAAGCUCGAGACCGUUAGGGGUAACUGGAAUGUCUGGUGUAGGGGUGAAAUGCGUAGAUAUUAGGAGGAACACCGAUAGCGUAGGCAGGUUACUGGGACGGUUCUGACGCUAAGGCACGAAAGCGUAGGGAGCAAACGGGAUUAGAUACCCGGGUAGUC